CAGUAGUUUAAUCUAACCUCCCCAACAACCCCAUACCAUUCCCUUUGUGAAGUGCCUUGAGACGACAUGUGUUGUGAAUUGGCACUAUUAAAAGCAGAAAGUUGAAAGUCAUCCAGAGUUGUUUGUUUUUAUCUGUCGACUUAAACAUCCUUGUGGAAUUUUAAUUUAAAAGACUUGGAUCAGCUACUUUAAGCGUCCUAACUGGGAGUUGGGCUGCUGUUGGCAGCUUUCAGUGAGAUCAUGGACUGUACAAUCUGUCACAAAACCUAUGAGGGACUAGACAGAAAAUAAGAGACACGGGCAUGCAGAUCAAUGAUUUCAUUGUCUCUAUUGCCCAGUCCACAAGGAUUUUGCUUCUACAGAGAUUUUUAGAUUUCUCAGAAGGAUUCAUAGAUUUUUAGAUUUCUUAGCAUUUGAUUUGUUUUUCUGUGUUCUUUGUGAUUGUAUUGUAAUUGUAUGUACAGCGCUUUGAGUGUCUCGUUACUGAAAAGCGCUAUAUAAAUAAACUUACCUUACCUUACAGGCCUCCCUGCUUACCCCUCUGGUCCUGUCACCCUCUUCCUGCCCAUUACAGGCUGGUGCAUCAGACAAUGACCAUUCUAACCUCGAUCACAUCAAGCGGCCUCCCAGCUAACGGCCUUGGAAGAGCACCUGCCAAAUAAUCAGCUCACCCAUGGAGGAAAACAGGAAAAACUGUGUCUUGCAAAACUAUUCACACCCCUUUAUAUUGUGUCAUUUCCAACCACAAACAUUUAAAGGCAUUUCAUGUGACAGACCAACAUAAAAUCAUUUAAAAUGAUGAAGUAGAAGGAAACUCAUAACAUUUUUUAACAAAACAAUCUGAGAUUUAUAUUCAACCCUACUCCUUAGUCAAUACUAUGUAGAGCCACCUUUCUCUGCAGUUCCAGCAGCUUUAACCAUCUAUAUACUUUUUUGACAUUUUUGCUCAUUCUUCUUUCAAAAUAGCUUAAGCUCAGUCAGACUGGAUGGAGAUCAUCUCUGAAGAUCAGUUCUCAAGUCUUGCCACAUAUUUUCACUUGUAUUUAGGCCUGGACUUUGACCGGGCCAUGCUAACACAUAAAUAUUGCGUUGACCGAAAUCAUUGGCUGUAUGUUUAGGGCUGUUGUCCUGCUGGAAGGUGAACCUCCACCUGCAGCCUCUAACAGGUUUCAUCUAGGAUACUCCAUCUACCUUUUCCCUUCUGAAAUAAAGCAUGAUGUUGCAUCUCCAUGGAGAUGGUGUUUUCAUGGUGGAAAAGUGAACAUGAAAAAGUUGAUUACCUGUUCUUGGCACUGUAAGGAGCUUUCCAGUCCACUGUGGCCCUGACCAGUGCUGGUGUCACUGUCCAUGAUGAUGCAGCCAGCUAGUCUGCCACCAUUUUUAAGUAGAAGAAAUCCAUUAUUCAAAGAUGCUACAGCAGAAAAUAGUUAUUUUUCAAACAUGAGUGCUUCAGUAGCUGCUUAACGUAAAAAGUGUUUUGUAUAGAACUGACUGAGGUUUAUCACUGAAGUAAACACCAUAUAGAUCAGUAAAACCACCUGGAAACUGUUGCAUAUGAUGUUCAGGAGCUGCUAAAAGAGGCUCUGCUGAAGUUUGCAGAUAUAAAAAAUGUAUUUAAUCACUUUAGACUUCAAUGUCAAUAAUCUACCAGCAGAUGAAUUUUAAUGAAGCAUGCAGCUAUGAUACCUGUGGCUACAAAACGCUUUGUAGAAAUACAAUCCAGUCUUUUAAAGCAUGGAUGGCGAGCCUGCAGACCACUGAAGCCCCUGAUGAACAGCUACUGAUGGAGAAACGCAUCUGGACACAGCAGCCACCAUCCCGCAAACAGCUUACAAGAGUCUUUUUAAACUAUGACCUCUAGAGGCUACAUGUGGUGGGGAAUUAAACUCCUGCAUCCCGGCAGAACGGACGAAGAUCAGGACGCCUCUCCGAACGACUCCGGAGUGAAUCAGACCAACUAACUAACUGAGAGGAGAUGACAGCUGGAGCUCAAUACGGAGAACUUUAGCAGAUGCUACAUGUGGUGGGGAAUUAAACUCCUGCAUCCCGGCAGAACGGACGGAGAUCGGGACGCCUCUCCGAACGAGCUCCGGAGUGAAUCAGACCAACUAACUAACUGAGAGGAGAUGACAGCUGGAGCUCUAUACGGAGAACUUUAGCAGGUAGGCUAACUUUAACCUGUCAGUUUCAUUCUACAACAUGGAGAAUUGUUUAUAGAUUACUUAUGAAGACGAACGAUCUCCAUAAGUAACUUAUAAUGGCAUGUUACAUGUUACAUGUUAAACUCAUGUCUUCAAUCGGCAAAGUGAAAUUUCUGGCCUUCUUAUUCCAGAAACCUCUUUCAUGAAUUUUUCUUUUCCGUUGGCCAACAUGGAGAAUUAAUUAAAUCCACGUGGGACCUCUUCUCCAGAAUGAUGCGCUUCAGUUGCUGGUCCGGUUUCCAGCGUGAAAAGCAAAUGGUGGGCUAACUCAUACUCUGUUAUAUAGUUGGUAGUGGCCUUAGAGCUGUAACGCCCUCGUCCUAUCAGUGGCCACUGGGAUUUGUAGUAAUGGACUGUCCUGGGAUACAAAAUGGCCGCAAACAUCGGAAGGCCUGGUAGCGUCCAGCAACGUGGAAAUGGUCCAAUAUUCAGCAAACAAGUGGUCCAACAUUCCCCCCUAGGUUCAAAGGGUGAGAUGAAUGGCAGUCUUUGAAGCUACUGGGACCAUUCUGUCCUUAGCUGAACAUUCAGUGAUCCGUGGUGAAGUAAAACAAAACAAAAUGUCUCUGUGUUCCUCAAAAGCCUAUGAUUGGGCAGGAUAGAAGUUAGCCUGGGCAGGGCUAAACUCUGACUAACUAA